rnacentral:rRNA from 1 species
GGCACGUGAAACCUUGUCUGAAUAUGGGGGGACCAUCCUCCAAGGCUAAAUACUCCUGACUGACCGAUAGUGAACCAGUACCGUGAGGGAAAGGCGAAAAGAACCCCUGUGAGGGGAGUGAAAUAGAUCCUGAAACCGCAUGCAUACAAGCAGUGGGAGCCGACUUGUUCGGUGACUGCGUACCUUUUGUAUAAUGGGUCAGCGACUUACAUUCAGUAGCGAGGUUAACCGCAUAGGGGAGCCGUAGAGAAAUCGAGUCUUAAUAGGGCGUUUAGUUGCUGGGUGUAGACCCGAAACCGGGUGAUCUAUCCAUGAGCAGGUUGAAGGUUGGGUAACACUAACUGGAGGACCGAACCCACUGUCGUUGAAAAGCCAGGGGAUGACUUGUGGAUAGGGGUGAAAGGCUAAUCAAACUCGGUGAUAGCUGGUUCUCCCCGAAAGCUAUUUAGGUAGCGCCUCGGACGAAUACCAUUGGGGGUAGAGCACUGUUUCGGCUAGGGGGUCAUCCCGACUUACCAAACCGAUGCAAACUCCGAAUACCAAUGAGUACUAUCCGGGAGACAGACUGCGGGUGCUAACGUCCGUAGUCAAGAGGAAAACAAUCCAGACCGCCAGCUAAGGCCCCAAAAUUAUAGUUAAGUGGGAAACGAUGUGGGAAGGCAUAGACAGCUAGGAGGUUGGCUUAGAAGCAGCCACCCUUUAAAGAAAGCGUAAUAGCUCACUAGUCGAGUCGGCCUGCGCGGAAGAUGUAACGGGGCUAAAACUAU